CAGUAGCCGCGGUAACACGUAGGGUGCGAGCGUUAAUCGGAAUUACUGGGCGUAAAGCGUGCGCAGGCGGUUUUGUAAGACAGGCGUGAAAUCCCCGGGCUCAACCUGGGAAUGGCGCUUGUGACUGCAAAGCUAGAGUGCGGCAGAGGGGGAUGGAAUUCCGCGUGUAGCAGUGAAAUGCGUAGAUAUGCGGAGGAACACCGAUGGCGAAGGCAAUCCCCUGGGCCUGCACUGACGCUCAUGCAUGAAAGCGUGGGGAGCAAACAGGAUUAGAUACCCCUGUAGUCCCUGUCUCUUAUAC
rnacentral:rRNA from 1 species